rnacentral:lncRNA from 1 species
UUUUUUUUUUUUUUUUUGUUGGAAGUUGGAGGAAGAUCUGAAUCACAUCUUUUAGAGCUGUGAGUUUGCAGAUUCUAUCUUGAAUUUGUUCUUUGAAAGUUUUGGUUUUGUGCUUGCCCGUCAAAAGGACAUUAGUGUUAUAUUCAGGAAGUUCCUCUUCCAUCCACCACUUCUAUUCAGGAAGUUUCUUGUGGUUGGAAGGUUUUGCGCUAUUAUCUUCUUCUUCUUUUAAAUAUGAAAGUGUAUGCUAUCAUGUGGAAUUGUGUAGGAGAAAGGAACAAAGUGUUUAUAGGGUUGGAAAAGGAGCCCAAUGAUGUUGGGGUUCUUAUUAGGUUUCAUGUUUCUCUUUGGGAUUUGACUUCAUCUUUUUCCUUAGUGAAAUUCAUUUCUUUUUGAAGAAUGUUUUGUUCUUAAGUGUUAAUAAGUUAGUUAAGUAAAAAAAUUUAUAUUCACAAGUUCUGAUAAUUUAUUAAGUUUUGAUGUUAUGUUCCUAUUUUUAUAAGUUGAGUGGUUUGUUUUAAUUUGAUGAGUUAGUAUUCAUUUUCAUGAUAAGUUUGUUUAGGUGUUUUUUCUAUAUACGUUAGUGUAUGGGCCAACUUACACAUACUAUGACUAAUCUCACGAGACAACCAGCCUGACCUACAACAUUUGGGUGUCAUGGAAACCUUUAUAUUAAAUUCUAGGUAGGUGACCACCAUUGAUUGAAUCCAUGACCUCUUGGCCCUUUGGCCUUUUUUUUAUAUUCCCAUUACCACUAGGCCAACCCUCGAGGUUUUGUUAUGUUCAUGUUUCUUUUAGUUUUGUUUGUUUAAAUUUUACAAGUUUACCAUUUUUACGAUAAGCUCGUUUAGUUCUAUUGUUUAUUUUAAUUUGACGAGUAAGUAUCUAUUUUCAUGAUAAGUUUCUAAAUUUGUUAAGGUUUAUUGUUAAUGUUUUGAUAAGUUUGGUUUGAAUUUGAUAAGUUUAGUAGUGUUUAUAAGUUUCGAUAAGUUCGUUAAGUUUUGUUGUCGUGUUCAUAAAUUUUGAUAAGUUCGUAGUUUACUUCGAUUUAAUACCAUCAAUGAAAUUAUGUUGUGUUUUUCAUAAAAAAAAAUAGUUUUUUUCAAUUCCCAAUUCUACUUCUUUCAUUAUUUCAUUUCUUCAUCUACGUCAGAUUCUAUGCACGUAUGAUUUUGACUUGAGAACAAAUUGUACCACGUUUUAUGAAACUAUGAAAAACUAGGUGGAUUUUAUUUUAUUUUUUGGCUGCACUGACAAAAUGUUGCGCUCGACAAACCCAAUCAAUCAUGUUAUAGGUAAAUAAACGAUUAAGUUAUACUUGGUGAAACUCUUGUUUCUUCAUAACUUUGGCAAAUUCCAUUCAGAUUCUAGACUUUGCUUUUUCUUGGCUUUUCAAAUACUGAGAUCAUUGAAUCUUUUGCUGGUAAUUUGAACAUAAUUUUUAUUUAUUUAUUUACUUUCAUGCCUUAUGGAACAAUUCUUUUAAUGUCUACUACAGGAAGUAUUGGUGAAUGUAGUUUCAUAUGAAGCUGAGCCUAAAAGAGCAAACUCAGGACGAUGUCUCUUAGAAAACCGCCCCCUCCUCGGCUUCUUCUCGACCAGGUCUCCUGUAUGCGAAAUGCCCAGCAAAUCCUUAGAAAUGUUAACGUCUCGAUCCAUGAUGGCAGUGCACUCGUGCUGUCAGGGAGCAAUGGUUCAGGCAAAACAACAUUCUUACGAAUGUUAGCCGGAUUCUCCCGACCUUCUGCCGGUAGGAUCCUAUGGAAUGGGCAUGACAUUACAGAAUCUGGAGUAUUCCACCAAUACAAACUUCAGCUGAAUUGGCUCUCACUUAAAGAUGCCAUUAAAGAGAACUUUACCAUCAUUGACAACGUUCAGUGGUUCGAGCUGCUUGAGGGGAAGCAUGGCAAAUCAAUGCCUGCCAUCGAGCUGAUGGGGCUUGGAAGAUUGGCAAAGGAGAAGGCGAAAAUGUUAUCGAUGGGGCAACGUAAGCGCCUGCAACUUGCAAGAUUGUUGGCGAUCGAUAGACCAAUUUGGCUGCUUGAUGAGCCUUCAGUUGCAUUAGAUGAUGAUGGGGUCAAGUUGCUGGAAUACAUCAUUGCUGAACAUAGAAGGAAAGGUGGGAUUGUCAUUGUAGCAACACAUAUUCCAAUAGAUAUUGAAGAUUCCAUGAUCUUGAGGCUUCCGCCACGUUUCCCUCGGAGAAUAACCUUGGUCGAUAUGCUCGAUCGGUGUGACAUAUCGUAACUUUACCAACUCAAGCAUAGUUCAAAUCAAGCAAUGGUAACAUUCUUUCUCAUUCUUUAUCAUUUGUUGGUUUCCAUCAUUAGAAUUGUUUUUAAAAAUAGCUCAGCUUAAAGCUAAAAAUAAUACUUCAUGUUUUAUGUUACAAAAGAUAAGACUUUAAAGUCAAAUACCAUUUCGGUUCCUUUACUUCAGAGAUUGUUCUAUUUUUAAUACGUGUUCUUGUGCUUCCAUUAAAAGAAAUUUGAUUCAAGUUGAUACUUUUUUUAAUCACUAAUUGUGAUUUUACUAUUAUUUAUCAUAUGAAUACAAAUUUCCUAAUGAUCUAUUCUACUGAUGUGCUUUUUUCCCCCAUGUAAAUGAAUCAACAAAUUCCAUUGGGUUUUUGAAAAUAUAUAAUACACCAAAAAACAAAUGACAAAAAUAUAACGUAAUUGGAAAUAGAAUUGGCAGAAGAAAAUUUCACUCAAAACAAAUUUAAUUAAUCAUUUGAAAAUAUCUCAAACGUAUACUAUGCAUCAAGGACCGAAAUGAUAUUUUAACUCAAUACUUAUCACUUCUUAAACAUUUCUAUUCUUUCUCCACUAGACCUUCAAGAUUUUACCAAUCAACUUUCUUUGGAAGUAGAGACAAAUUUUGAUGUUCAUCAAAUUGGUAACUACCUAUUUCUUUUUGCAUUCGAAACUGAUACUGAUACCACCUGAAUCUUGAAGCAAAGUCAGCAGUUUUUCAACAAAUUUCUCGUGGUUUUACGAAAGCCAAUGUCAUCCAAAAAACUCUUUCACCCACUAGUUUAAGCUUUUGGAUCAAUUGAUAGUUUAAGAAAGAUGUUGAUUGUGGAAAUUGUCAUUGAUAUUAAGAAACUGAUACUUCGAGUUAUCAGACUCAACGUCAACAUAGAUGGUUUGAAAUGGGUGUGUUAGAUGGUUUGAAAUGGGUGUGUUUGAUACCGAUGAAGUCUGAACGGUUGUCAAAGUUCUGUUGGCAUUGUGGAAUCAUUGGGCAUAAUCUCGAGGAAUGUAGUGGAAAAGUGAACGAUGAAGAAGUUGGGAAAACUUUUUAUAGGAAAAAGGGUUGAGUUUUAUUGAUUAUUGCAAUAAAUUUUCAUUUGAUACAAAUCAUGAAGGCUUCAAAGAUGAUUUAGUAAACGAAGGCAAUGAGAGGAUGAAAUAAGACUAAUGAAGAUUCUAUUUUGAAUAAAGGGAAUAUGCUGACUCAUUUUCUAAGUUUGUGAAGUUACAAUUUCUUGUUCGUGUUGGAAUGUUCGAGGAUAGGGGAUUUUUUUAUAUUUUGUCUUAUGAUGUAGGUGUACACGAUGAUUUCACUCGUGUUAAAUUUUUGGUUUUGUUGUUUUUAUUUUGUUUGAAAUAACGUGUAACAUUGUUACUUUGAGUAGAUUUAGGACUCAUUUGAAUAGUUGUUAUGGGUUUUCUUUUUAAUUGAAUUGGUUUGAGUGAUGGACUCUUUUGUUGUGGAAAGAGGAGAUGAAUGUUUGAAUUUGAUGAUCAUAACUAUAAAUUUGUAGGAGGAUUUUUGUUCAAAUGAUCUAAAGAUUUUUAGAAAAAUGAAAUUUAAAAUCUCAAAGUCAAGGUUUGAUCGGUUUGGACAAUAAAUUUGUUAAGUUUUACCAAUUUAGACUAUCACUUCCAAUUUCAUCUAAUUGAAUCCUAAAUUUAAGCUUCAAUUUUUACUAAUUGGCCUAUUGUUUUUUCAAGAAAAAAAGUGUAGAGAUCUUCAUAAACUCGAGCUAAAAUAAUAGUUUGAUCACUGUACAAGUUUUUUUAUUCAACAACUUUUCCAAAAUCCAUAAAUUUCAACAAAUAAAAGUAAAAUUACAACAUCUCAAACAAUUUGAUAAAAUUGAAAGUUGUAUAAAAAUUGGUAUUGGGUCAAAAUGGAAUUUUCAUAUAAUAUUUCAUAUCAAAACAAAUACUCAGCAAAGAAUGAUGGAUUUUCAAUAUCAAAUUGAUGUAAAAAUAAUAAUAAAGGAAAAGAAAUAAGAGAAGAAAAAAAAGGUAAAAAUACUGAUGGGUUUAGUUGAAGGAUUUGAAUUGACUUUCACCCAAAUGGGGGUUUAGCUUAGACAGCCUAAGCCACUCUAAACCCAACCACACCAAAGGAUAUCAAUUUAAACCAAGAUUACACCAAAUUUUCAGCCAUGAUUGUCAAGCUUAAAUAUACAAAACUAUUCAUACUUUUACAUUCAAGUUCCUUAAAGCUAACUAUAUACUCUCUGUUUUGGAUAAUAACAAAUCUACAGCAUCCCAACUCUCUUUAAUAAUAUGUAAGCCUUUUGUUUAUUGACCAAACCUCAUUACCAAAAGAAAGAUUUUGAGAUUUGGCAAUGCUCUUGCAAAAAAUAUGGAACUGGGUUCCUGGAGCCAACAUGAAAAAUGAGAGCACGGAUCGUGCAUGACGCAUGCACGAGUGUCCAGGCAGAUAAACUCUGUCUCAUUCUCUUUUUGUCUCACUUGAAUUAUCCAUUAUCAUCCGGUUAUGUACUUGAUCUCUGCAUGCUCUCUCAACCAUUCUAGCACUUUAGCUCCUUCUAGUAUGUCUUGUACCUAAAUGAUUAUGUGUAUGAGGUGAAAUGGGGUUUUUUACAUUAGCUUGUAAUAUGCUAAUAGUUGUGACAUAUCAUUUUCAAGUUAGAAUGAGCAAGGCAUAUGGUUUGACUAAUGACCAGUCAGGAAAAGCAUAACGAAAUCGAGAAGUUUCUAUUUGUCUUACUGACCUGUUCCUGCACCCGGUCUUCGUCAUAUUCUUGUUUACUACGUUUAAAUUCCGCAACAGAGUUUUCCACCUCUUUCAUGAGUUCCUCUGUGUCCACCUGCAGAGCAAGCAAAGAUCGGUGUAAUAUUAGAUAAAGCAUAUUAUUUUUUAUGUGCAGCAGGUUUAGGUUUGGGAAGCUACUUUAGGAAGUUAAUGAUUUUGAUGGUUUAUGAUAUUAUUGUCUUGUAUAAUAGUGUUUGGUAACCAUUUGAUUUUAUUUUUAAAAAAAUUAACCCUAAGUACAUCUCUAUGAGCUCUAAAUUUCUUGGUGUGUUAUCUACUUUACAUCAAUGUUUACAAAAAUUACCUCAAAUUAUGUAAACCGAGAAAAAAAAGGCUUUUAGAAACUUGUUUUUGUCUUUGGAAUUUGGUUAAGAAUCCAACUCUUAUACUUUUUAAGUUGCAAACUGCUGUAAGAAAAUUGAAGGAAAUAGACUUAAUUUUCAAAAAACCAAAAACAAAAAAUGUACACAAAAUAUUCUCGUCCAACCACAAGAAUGCCCACACGCCACGACUAACCAUGAAUGCAAGUUACAUAUCUUUGAGAAAUGGGACUUAGCUAAUUAAGGGUAUUAAUUUUAUUCAAUUUCAUAAUUAUAUUAUAUUUAAUGGAAUAAAAACUUAAGGUUAAAUAGUAAAAAUUGAACUUAUCCUAAAAUACAAUUGAAAACAAACUAAGAUACUAUCACCUGCAAAUUUUCACGUUUAAAUAUAUCUCCCACUGCAAGAUUCUGUUUGAUAACAUGCGUAAUGUUGUCCCUCUGAUUUUCAAGGUACUCCUUCACAGCCUUAGGACUAGAUAGAGUAGCCAACUGCUGUUCAUUUAAUUUCAUGUUUGCCUGUGCCACAACAAAAGAUAUGAGAAUUGUUACACUGCACUCACUAACAAUAGAGAUCUUUAGAUUUAGGCAUUCUCCAUUUUAAGUUCUCACCUGUAUCUGCAGUAGUUUGGCUCCAUAUAGCUGCCUACCUUGCUCCUCAAAUAUGGAAUGAGGAAUAUCAACUUCCACCAUCUGAAAAGGUUUGUUCCAACUUAUUGUUAAUUUUCCCAAGCCAGAUUCCCCACUGUUAACUCUUAGCAUAGAAAGUGCAUAAAACAAUUUAACUCAACUCUAGUCUCUAACAAUUAUAACUAGUUGAGGCAACGUCGAGCGUGCAGUUUCAUCAACCAAUAAGAUCCUUGUUUUCAGAGACUAGGGUUUUUGGAAUUUUGUCCAGCACAACACAACUAAUAACUUCAUUUUUUUUUUUUGAAAAAAAAGAUUUUUUAUAUAACUGAGCUUUUUUCCAUACAAACAAAAUCAUGGUCUCGAAUCCAAAUCCCUUGAAAAAAUUAUAAAAUUUUGGGUCUUGUGAUAAAAAUAAAUGUUAUCGUCGAGUCUUCCAUGUUAGAAUGAUACUUGAAGCAAAAUUACCUUUUAAAGAACUUGUUUAAUAAGGAAAUCAAGUUCUUGUGAUCAUAGUCAAAACAAUGUCUAUACACACACAUAUACUGCAUUGUCCAAACACACUACCCAAAGGUCAAAAUAGGCAUAUAAAUCUUCGAAAACCUAUUUCAGAUAGUAAAAUACCUUGCAAAGUUGGUCAAGAAUUGCAUUGUCCGUUGCCUGAUCUUUAGCUGUUUGCUCUACUUCAAGGCAUCUUUGCAGCAAUGCUUCCUUGACCUGUCGGUUUGAAGCAAAAGAUACAAAUAUAAAACCCUUUCAGAAAAAAGCUAUUUCAUAUAGCAAAAUGCUUUCUGUAUUGCAAAUACGAGGUAGAUUGGAGAUAUGAGAGUAUUAGGUUACCUGUUCUAGGGUUGUAGAGCCGGGGAGAAGCUUAUCAGCUAGUGAGUCAUCCAACUGAGGUAAUUCUCUGUAGAAUAGUUCCUUGCACUCGACCUAAAAUCAAGAAAAAUAGAGAUGAAAAAGGAAGAUAUUGAACCAUGAUAUUCCUUGCAUAAAAUAUAACAAGAGCCAAAGUAAAAGUCAGAAUGAUAAAAUAUGACAUUUCUUUUCUAUUUGCUCCGGCAUCAUUUAUGAUCUCCUCAUUAGUUGAACAAAUGAAUAGGAAACUUACUGUGAAUUGAGCAUGAACACCGCGGAGAUCUUCUUGAUUCCAUGAUUCAGGAAAUACAAGGGGAAAUGACUUAGUUUCACCUCGUUGAAUGCCAAUUAAUGAAUCAAGAAACCCAGGAAGGAGUUUAUCGCCGUCUUCCGUAUCAAAACGAUAACCUAUAAAUGGUAAUAAGGAAAAGAGAGGAAUUUUCAUGACUUGAUCAUUGCGCUUUCCAGUAUUCAUGAUUGGUAGCUUAAUCUAACCUUUGCUCUCUGCAGAUGGAAUCUUUUGACCACCAGAUUCAUCUUGGCCAAUUGUUAUUGCUGAUAUAUCAAUUACAGCAACAUCACCCAUCUGCACACAUUUGUCAAAUUGUCAAGAUGUUCGCACAUUUAAAAGACUCACCUGUAAUUUUGACUUUGCGAUGAUUUGAUAACUUGAUAAAAUUUUAAAACUCCCUGUUAUUAAUCAUCCAGCAACAGAAUCGAGAUCACCACCAAGUGAACAUCAGUGGUAAAACAUUUUCAUAUAGCCAUCAAUCCUGGUCUAUUUCUACUAUGUUUCAGAAUGACUGAAACCUACUCGACAAAUAGACAACUUAAUUUCUUACAAAUUUUCAGUAUAUGAUAGAGAAACUUUUUGGCUCCCUUAGAUUUGUACCAUUCGAUUAAAUAAUAACCUCUAUUUCCAUUUGAGAAACAAAAUAUAUAGAGAAAAAGGAACAUAAAUAGGACAGGGUCCAAAAUGGUUACAAGAGUCACCUGUAAUCCUCGAUCAGUCACAAUUCUUAAUGUACCAAGGAACUUGUGGCGGCGCUUUAAUUCUUGUUCGGAAGUUUUUUGAGCAUCUAUUUCGUUGUCUAUUUCAACCACCAGCUUCAAGUUUUUGUAUCCAUUCUCAGGAACCCAUCUGACUUCAGGUGCAACAUCAACAAUAAUGUCAUAUCUGGAUCACAAAACCACUUCAACCCAUGAAUAUAUUUAUCACAAACCAUAGAAGAGAAUAAUGAAUGGUAAAUAACCAGUGCAGUAGUGCACUAUAACCUUUAAAGUUAAAAAGAAAUGAGCAUUGAGCAAGGUGAAAAAGUCAAUCACAUAAGGUGUAACUAAAAAGCUUGAGACAGUAAUAAGAUAAAGGUAAGCUUUGUGCAAGAGCAGUUUAAUUAGCAGAAAUAUCCACCUACAUCUUAAGAGAAUAUAAAAGAUGCACAUUUGGAAAACCUGAGAGAGCCUUGAGAAGAAAAGGUCUGCUCCAAGUCAGAAAAUUUAGAGGCAAUACGAACGGAGUCUUUCAGUGCCCUUCCUGCUACCUACAAUACAUGUAUGUGGUAUAAGAUAAGCAUUUAACUUACCAAUCACCUCAAAAAAAACAAAAGAUCAGAUAUUUUAUUAUCUUUCUUUGCAUCAGAAAACUACUUUUAUUAUUUACGUAGGCGUAUGUAAUAAAACACUAGGGGGGUAUUUGGUGGCCUAUAAUAGGUUGAGUUUGUAAUGUAAUCCAAAACCCAUGUUUGGAUUGCACGUUUUGAGGCCAAUUUGUAAUAUAAAACUCAUUCCGUCAUGACAGUUUUCAAUCUAACACUCUUUCUCAUUGUUAUCAUGCUUCACGAUCUCAUUUUCAUUUCAUCUUCGAUUACUCACGCUUUCCAACACUUCUCUAAUUCACAGUAUUCCUAAACGCUUUCGGCACUUGAGUACUUCCUCCAAAAAGACUUACUUUCUAAGUAUGUCAAAAGAACUUUUGAUUAAAAAGUGCUUAUAAUUGGUCAAAAACACUUUCCACCCUUCCAAAAAUCAGCGCAAACUCACGUUUCAGAUAAUUUUUUGGUUGUAUAGGGGAGAAGCUGCUCAAAAUGGAAAAUUUUGAAGCAAAGCUACAAGCAACUAUUGAAUCAAAGUGAGCCUAGAUCAAUUACUGCAACUCUAUAUGCUUCUUCAUCGAUCAAAUAUUUUAUAUGCAAAUAAAUAAAUAAAUAAAUAAGAGAGUAAAUAAUCAUCACUUUUAACUUACUGAGGACAUGGCAUGAGGAAGGGUCCUCUUCAAAAUUGAUUCUACGGUGGCUUUCUGCAUAUGGUCCUUUCCUACGUAACUUACAAGAAUACUUUCUGGAACUUUUCCAGGACGAAAUCCUGGGAUCUGCUUAUAGAAAACCAGAUUAUACAAUUGUCAUUGUCCUUCCAAAUGUCAAGAAAAUAAUUAAAAGUCGAUAGCUAUUAGUACUAUAAGAUAACUCGGGAAUGGAUCGUCAGUUAACAUGUAGAGUGAAGAGGCACUGUAGAAAAUAAAAAUAGGAAGUGACAGUAGAGUCUCAAGCAGCACAUGCAUAAAUAUCGCAUCUCUGUUCUAAUAAUAAUAUAAUAUAUAAGAAUGACCCUAUGAUGUGUAUUUUCAGCCCACGACUUGAAAGGAAGUUCGCAUCAAUGUGCACUGGGUACUUUGUUUCUAGCUGUCAAGGGUGAUUGAAAUCCCAUUUGGAAGUAGAUAUGAACCUAGAUUAUUACUAAAAAUAGCAUCUCCUUUAGUAUGGGAUCUUUUCAGCAGAAUCUAUAAGCAAAUUCACAAAGAUAUAGGCUCAAAACUGGCAAUAUUAAUCUUGAAUGGCUCAUCGUCCAAGUAAAUAAGUCGAAUAUUUCUGUUAGCACAAAACUUGUAAGAUAAAAUCCAAAAAAGAAGAGCAAGUUUUUUUUUAAAGAAAAAACUAGACCCGUUUUGUAACCAUUUGAUUUUUAGUUUAGGAAAUUAAGCACACUUCUUCUCAAUCUCUUACAAUGAUUUGAAUCCUUUCAAAAUAAAAGAGUUAAAUUCUCCAAUUUUUUUUUAAAAAAAAACUAGUUGCAUACAAAAUCAACGGAAGUUGCAUAUAAGUUAUAGUAACUUGUUACCUUAACCUGCUUCAUGAACUCGGCCAUAACCCUUCUAUGACAAUCCUCACAAACAGCCGGUGGAACUCCUACACUCAAUCUAACCUGAACAGAGCAUUAACUGAAUAAUCAUAAAUAGAAAUGCACAAAUAAAGGUUCAAUUUCAACAAGGAAAAAAAGAAAAAGGAAAAACUCACACUGGAAUUGGGUUCUUCGGUCUCGGAAAUAUCCAAGUCGGCAGGAAGCUUAUCGAUCUUAGGGCCAAGAUCAACGGAAGAAGGCGAAGAAGGUGAAGCAGCAAAUCGGCGGGAAGUGGUGGAGAUUUGAAGAGGGUGAAGGAGGUGAAAUGGGGGAGGAAAAAAUCGAAGAUUGUUGGAGUGAAGUAAAUGGGUUUUGGAGAAAGAAGCAGAAAUUGAAGAAGGAGAAGAAAGAGAAGGGCGCCAUGGAAGGUGAUUGAGAAGAGUUGAAGAGAAACUGGAUGUGAAGAGCUCCAUUAAGGAAUUGGUUUUAGGAUAGAAGGUUGCCUCCAAGUUUCAAGGAUGAAAGAGGAUAACGAUACCGUUAAAACUAAGACUUACAAAUUGGUCUCAACUUUUGGGUUCGUUUAAAUAUUAUACCCUAAACUUUAAAUAUUUUCAUUUUAACCCUUCAUGUUCCAACCUCCCUUUGUAAACUUUUGUUGUUAAACUUAUGCACUAAACUUUUACAUCUACUCGUGUAUGUAUUUAAAGGCAAAUAUGCAUAUGUGAACCAUUUACAUGUGUUUGAAGUUAUUAUAGUUUGAUUAGAAUAGAGUGUGUUUUGAGUAUAGAUUAUUUUAAUUUGGAUUAUAAUACUAUGUGUUACAUUAUUUUAGUUUGAUAAGAAAAUAGUAAACUCUAUAACAAAUAAUUAGAAAAUGAUGAAUGUACGUCAAAUAGUAAAUAGUAAAUACGGUAGUAAAUAGGAACUGUUAGAAAGUUUUAAAAUAGUAUUUAUGUACUUAAUUGAAGACUUUAAAUAGUAUUUACGGCAACAAUAUGUGGUAAUUAUAGUCAUAAGCAAUCUUUAACCCAAAAGGUUCCUUAUUUGUCUUCUUCCUCUUUUCAAGUACACGAUUCCAAUUUUCUGUUUAUUUGUUUAUGAAUUAUUUGCUGGCCCGACUAUAGAAUAGUUUACUUUCUUGUAAGUAUACAUUAUUUCAUCGAUAAACUUAAUGGUAAAAACGUUUCGAGAGUUGUUUUAAAAAAAAAAAUUCAAACGUUAAAAUGAAAAUUUUCAAAGUUCAGAGUAACCUACUAAUAAUUAUUUGUUUUUUAAGUAAAAAAAUAACGCAAGGGAUUUAAACAUCCAACCUGAGAAAAUAAUAUACAUCAAUUAUCAACCCACGUAACCGAAGAGCUUUGAACUGAGUGGCUAUAUAUGUUAGAGUAGAAGUAUUUAUGAAGUUAACAGUGUUUAGUUACAAUGAUGCUUAUAUCUUUGGAUGAAGCAUAUAGAUUAACUUUUUAUAUCAUUACUUGAUUCAUCACUUCUUGUUUUUACCCUUUUGGAUCACACAAAAAAUUGCAAAAUUCAAGCCUAAGAUAUAACAAUAGUUGUAAUUAUACCUUCAAUUAAGAUAUAACAAUAGCUGUAAUUAUACCUUCAAUUACACCAUGUUUAUACCAGUAUAAAAAUUAGACCCUCAAACAUACAUAAAUCUAAGUAUGAGAAUCUCAUUUGGUCCAAGAAUAAGUAAAAGAUUAAAUGGGAUCUAAAAAAAUGGAAGACAAAAUGUAAACAAAAAUAAAGUAAAUCCCCAGCAACAUCUAUUUAUAUUUAGUAUAGAUUAUAAAUUGCUCCUGCUGUUAAAAUGUAGGCAUCAUUCUGUUUCUGUUCAUCUUUGACAGAAAGCCCUUUGUUAACUUUUUGACAAAAAAAAUGCCUCAAAGAAAGUGUUUGCAUAUUCUGAAUUUGAGCUGACAGGAAAUCAUGGAAAUACUCUCAUAUCUCUCUGUAAAUACAUAACGAAAUCAAAUUUUAUCCAAGCAAUGAAUUGUUUUUCUUUCCCUGUCCAAUCUAACAAGUCUAGAUUAGGCAUCUCCUCUUCCAUAGAAGAUUCCGUAUAGCAAAACUUCUCUUUUUAUACCAAAAUAUCCAUCCUUCCAAUCCUUCAAAUUCAACCUUGAGAUCCCUUCUCGGUUGCGUCACCCGUUGCACCAUCCUCAUUCUCCACGGCUUUUGUAACACCAACUUCGGCAGGUCGAAGUACUCGCUCAUGAAGCAUGUACCCUUUCUAUUGACAUAAACAACAAAAUAACAGUUAGGGGUUUGCAGUUAUCAUAGCUUUGAUGCAAAUUCUAACAUUAGCUCUGCUUCAACAAGACAAACAGAUGCAAGUAUAAUGUUAUAUCAUACAUGUUUAGUUAUUGUGUUUGACUUUGCCCCCGCUAGGGUAACAAGCCCACGCUAUUAAAACUUGUGGAAUGCAAAGAUACCGUUACCCGGUCUUCUUCUGUUUAAGGACUAGAUAACUCUAAUAAAAUAUUAGUACAUGCACAUAUAUGAUCACCUCACUUAUAGAGGUGUGCGAACAGUUUUACUUUUAACUUGAUAUUUCAAAAUAUACAUUACAUUACAUCCGGUCUAAUUCAGUAACCAUUAACUAAAAAAUCAAUACUGUGAUUAAUACUUUCUUUUCUCAACAAGUUCUUUAUAAAUCUGGUAUUGAGCUAUAGAAAGCAUCGCACAUCUCAAUGGCAAACUCUGAGAGAAGCUUUUCAUUUACUGAGUUUUUCUUCUACCUCCGGAAACUUUUCCCAAACAUUUCUGGCCCAUAGCAUCACCCCCCCCCCCCCCCCCCCCCAAUGCAGAUCUCAAGAAACAUCAAGGAUUUAAUUCCCUUUCCUAACUGUUAUUCUUUUUUGGGUUUUGAAGCCAUUUUUUCAUAAUGCUAAUAGAUUAAGAAUGUCAAGUUAUUAUCCUGGCCUAUUUUUCUUAUAUCAUUUGCAAUUUAUUCUUGCUACAGCGAUUGGAUUUAAAAAAGGUCAUACAAUAGGCGAUUUGUUCAUUUGGUACUAAUAUAGUAGAUGAGCACCACUAAGAAUGUUUUUAACUAUUUCUUUAAGAAUUUAUUCUCAUUAAAUGUAAGAUCCAUUCUUGUUCCCUUAAGCUUGAGCAGCACUCCUAGUGUAGAGACCAGAAGCUCAGAACGAAUUUCAGAAAAAUAGAUUAAAUGGCAAUGUCUCGUUAUCUAAUUUCACCCCUCAGAAAACAAGCUGAAAUGAAGGCUAUCUCCCCUUACGAAAGAACCAGGAGUGGUCCAGACACCAUAAGUUCUCAGAACAAUCUCCUAUAAAACAUUAAUUUCAUAGAUGUUUCAUUAUCCUACUAUUCAACAUAUUAUAUUUUCUCUUAUAUAAAAAAUUCUUUAUACAUUUCAGCUAUUCACUAAAGAAACCUCACCUAUUUUUGCACUUCAUGCUUUAGUGCGCUAACCACUUCAAAAAAUACAAGGCUACAUACUUGAUAACACACAAACCACUUAAAUCUAAAACUUUUAAAACAGUAUGCUCAUGCUACGUAGUUAUUUCCCCCCAACAAACCCCAUUAAUCAAAUAGAAGCUACCUGAUCUGAAGAUUAGGUGAUUCAUUCUUUUAUGCAACCAAAUAGAAGCUAGUGCUCCCCAAUUUUAUACUCCCUAUACAACCAAAACAAUGGCUACCCAAGCUUAUAGUCCCCAUUUUAUGCUAUACAAAUCCAUGGUUAAUACAAUUGUGAGCUAAAACACCCUUGUAACAUUUGAGUUCAUAGCUUUUUCUUCUACUCGAAGUCAGGCCAUAAUGAUCACCAAAAAUAAAAACAAACAUUUAUAAUUUACACCAGAUUUUCAAAAUUGUAGAAACAAACGAAGACAUCCAUAUUUGCUAUGAAUAUCUCCUAAGAUUUUGUACCCACAUCUAAAUGUAUAGGAAACAAAGAUAUUCAGACAACUUACAAGUUAUAGAUACAACCAAUUCUCUUGUGCUAGAGCUACAAAUUAACCCUUGCCUGAUGGCUCUUGAGAAAAAUUAAUUGAUCAAAGAAAAAGCUCACAAAAUUACUGUUUAAUUAUUUAUGAGAACGUAAACUUUGUCUACCCUAAAAUUUGCCACACACGAACUUCAUAUGCAAACUAAAGGUGUAUGAAGAAUUUGAAAUACCAUAAUAGUAAAAUGUAGAAAACAAUGAUUAGGGCCACAGGAAAUACCUUCAAUACAGCUGCAACAGUACCAGGUGCCUUAGAACCAUCUGGUACUUGAAAAACUGCAUUGUGCCUAUGUGGAUCAAAUGGCUCAUUUGUAGGAUCAAACAUUUCCACUCCAUACUUCUUUAACACCUGCAAGCAACAAAAUUUAGUUGAACUUCACUGCCACAUAUAUGCCAUGGAGAGUCAAAAUCAGACGGAGAUACCCAUUGACCAAUUAGUUAAGUUGAAUUUAAUAUUUUAAAUUUAUAGUAAUGCAGCAGAUGGCUUCAAUUGGCUAAUUCUUCACAUAGAACUUACAAGUUCGACGGGAUCAAAAUUCUCACCAUUUUACCCAAUCAUACAACUUAGAAAUUGAAAUAUAAAAUACAUGAGAUGCCAACAACCUAAACAAAUUGACAUGGGUUCUUCUUUCAUAAAAUUUGAGGAACUUCACCACUUAAAUCAUCCAAUUAUUAAUGUAAUAAAAACAGAUUCAAGUGAACAGCAAACCUCAAGAACAAUUUGUGCAUGAGAUACUAACCUCAGACAGCUGUUUCUCCGUCAUUUCAACACCGUCAAUAAGUGUUUUCAGUAAGGGUACUGCCCCUGAAGAGUCAUUAGUUGAAUCAAUCUUUGAGAAACUUCCCUUGACUACGGAUGAAGCUCGUCCUAGAUUGUCUGCAACGUCCAGCAAACUCUUUGCAAAGUUCUACAAUACAUAUAAAUGAUUGAUGUCAGGAGAGAGUCUUGUAAGUGAAUAUUAAUGCAUUCCCCCAUGUCAUUGCAACAUGAUAACAAAUGUUAAAGACCAUAGAUAGGCAUUCCCAUGUCAUUGCAAAUGUCCAGCAAACUCUUUGCAAAGUUCUAAAAUACAUACAAAUGAUGGAUGUCAGGAGAGAGUCUUGUAAGUGAAUAUUAAUGCAUUCCCCCAUGUCAUUGCAGCAUGAUAACAAAUGUCAGAGACCAUAGAUGGGCCAAACUUAAAUCAAAACCUGUAUAGCAAACUUCUUCGAAUUCUCAGCUUCACGCUUUGUCCUGGCCAUCACAUUCUCCAUCUCUGCGUAAGUGCGAAUAACCUUAUCUUGCAUUUGUUCAAUCUCUUUGUGCUUUACCUUCAAAAGCUCUUCCUUCUCAGCUACAACUUUCACCAGAUCAUCCAUGGAAAGAUUGUCAUCGCUAUCAGAAUCUGAAACAGAAAUCAGAGUUGUUAGUACUCCAUCAAAUACAUGCAUCAAAUAUCAACAUCCGGAUAUGAAACCUGAUUCUCCGGUUCGACCAUUAGUUUCAGCCGUUGGCUCUGCAUUAGUUUUAGAGCCCCCAUUCCUUGGAACUGUAUUGCCAUUUUCCUUAUUAGAAGUCUCAGGGGAUGCAGAUGUUGAUAAUCCAUGUUUUUGAAGAAAAAAUGAACGAUAUAACGUUGAUUCCUGAAUAGAAAAAGAAUUAUAAACGCUCUCCAAUUUAAGAAAAUAUAUUAAAAAAUACACCAAAGUUGAUCAACAAUAUUAAAUCCAAGACACCCAGAAAAGGAACUAAGAUGGGGGAGGUCCCAAAUGCUUACAACAACAGAAAAGAAUUAAAAGGCAACUAAAAUCAUAUAAACUUUAUAAAAAUGGAAGGAAUUCGAAUAACUAAAUUGCAGUCACGUUAGAAAUUUUGAGAAAGUCCCAAAACCCUAGCUAAACCCUCGUAGCAGAAAACAAAACGGAGUAAGUAGCAGGUGUUUAAAUCGAACCUUGUCUUUUGAUUGGUUAGCAAGAGAGUGCAAUCGAUUAGUGAGAAUUGGGAAGUGAAUGGGUUUGUCGGAUUGAGGGGCCGACGAGAGCAGCGAGCUGCGAAGAAUGGUGCGGGAGGAGCGUGAGAAAAGCUUCGUGACGAACAUGGCUAACAAUGAUAAAGGUGAAGAAAAGGCGGAGAGGAAGAUGGGAUAAAGGUUUGUCCAGGCGAAGGAAGGGAAAGGAACAAAGAGAAAUGUGGUUGAGGAGAAGAAGAAGACGAGGGAGGAAGGAAGGAAGGAAGGAAGAAGAAGAAGAGGGUUUUGCGGUGGCUUUAAGGGGAAUUGACGAAACUACCCCGUUACUUUUGUUUGAGUAAACGACGUCGUUGUAGUUGCUUGAGGAAGAGGUUGUGUUGAUUUACAUAUACGUCACCUAACUCAAAAUAACAUCAAAACUAACACAAAGGAACACGUAUUUGUAAGAAUGAUAGUUGUUUGUUUUCUUUAUGGGAAAAGUUUUCAAUUUAUACUCCCAACUGAUUUAAAUAGAUUGAAUCAUUAGUUUAAUAUUUAUAAAAGUUUUAGAUUUAAAUUAAUAUAAUUAUUAGUAAGAUAUAACUUCCACUAUCAAUUCAUAUCUUUCAAUUAUUAGUACAAACAAUGUUUUUUUAACAAAACAAUUCAUUAAACAAAAUCCUGUUUGUAAGAAAAACAAUAAAUUAACCCUAGAUUGGUUUUUUGGUUUUAAUAUCAAAUUAAUUAAUUUUAACUUUUUUUUGUAUGAAACAAAUUUGAAUUUUUUAUUGAUAAUUUUAUUAUUUUAAAUAUUACUAAAAGAAAAGAAAUAUAUGAGAUGUGAUCAAAUAAUCAAAUUAAAUCAGUUAGAGAAAGUCACCCAAAGUUAAGAGUAACGCAUGUGACUUUUGAUUUUGAAUUGGCUUUAAAAAAGAAAGCUAAUUUAAUAUUAUUAUUUGUGUUUGUGUCUAACAACUAUUUUUUAAAAAAUAAUGCUUUAAAAAGAUAAUUUUCAAAAUGAUAUAUUAUCAUAUUAAUAUACAUGUUUGUGAACAACUAAUUGCAUCUUAUGACUCAAAAUUAUCGUGGAUUUCAAUAUAUUUUUUCUCUUUUUAAAUACUUUAUUUUCAUCUAAUUUUUAAGAAUUUUUUUUUUAUAAUCCCAAGUCACCGUUGAUAGUCUUUUAAAGCUUCUAAUCUUGUCAUUUAGAUAAUUCUUAUUUACGGUUAACUCAAAAUAUUGUAUAUUAAUUUUUUUAGAGUUUUUUUUGUUUAAAGCUUCAACAUAUUGUGAUGGUUGAAUCCUAAUCCGUGGAAAUGAUCGAUUUUGCUCUUGAACCCAAACAAGGAGCAAAUGGUGGUUCUCAACUAUAUUAUGUGGAAAGAGUCAAAUUGAGGAUUUUCAAUCACAAUCCCAAGAGAUCCUUAAAAAUAUGGAUGUAGGUCGAGCUUGACCAAACCAUGGUAAAUUUGAGGUGUCCUCUUCUCUAACUUUGUUCUAAUUAUUUUUUCAUUUAAUUUUAGUUGCAUAUUCUUGUUGGUUGAGAUUGAUUGUAUACUCUAUUACAUUCUUUUUAUUUUAUUUUCUUUUCUUUUUAUCAAAUUUGUUAUUUAGCAUAAAUUAGCUAAUUUUUUAAUUAAUUUAAAAAUUAUUUAAUUAAUUUAAUUUGGAUAUAUUUAUUAAAAAGUUCAACUAAAACCCCUAUUCAUCCCUCUAAAGUUGCCAUACCGAUCCAACAACACACCCCUUAAAUAAUCAUAGACCUAAACGAGUCUUGCACGAUCCAAUGGAUCUACUCAAACUAACCUAAUUCAUUCCAACAAUCCACUUUCAAGUGAAAACCACAAAACUUGACUCUAGUGAUCCUAAUUUUAAGCUUGAAAAAAAAAAUUAAGAAUUGUAGAAUCGUCGUGACAAGGAGUGAAUAGGAAUUCUUCAAAUUGAUCUUCACAAAUACAAUAAAUCUCUCAAAAAUAAAAUGAAAAGUAAAGUUAAAGAGCUUGGCAAGAGUAAAACUAAAAAAUGAAUGAAUUAUAAAGUCAGUUACUUUGAGAUUAAGUGCCAAAACGCCAUCAAAAAUUAAUGAAGUGACGUAAGAUGGAUCUAUCACAAACCAAAAGCCUAUAUUCGUGUUGCUUUGUUGUUCAUAGUUAUUUGCAUAUGUUUAAUUUUGAUGAGGUCAAUUACUAUCAUAUCAAUAUAAUUCAAAAUAGUGUAUAAAUCAUAUCGUGACAUAUCUAUAGUUUCUACUUCUACUCUAAAAUUUAGCAUUACGUGUUUGUACCUCCAUCUCUUAUGGAUGGUUUGUUUACCUAAUGAUUUCAAAAUGUUGCAAAAUUUGAAUACACUUUGUUGCCAUAUCAAACUAAAUUAGGUGCAUUGAUAACUUAUGACAAUCUCAUAUAUUCCGCACAUCCCGCCUUACUUAACUACAUAUAAGAAUGAUCAAACCUUGAAAAAAGAACUCAGGCCAAUUAUCUUUUGAAGAAAGAACUCUUAAUGUUAAGUUAGAAGUGACUUUAGUCUAUUAUAUAACAAAAUUUAUGCUUAAUUUAUUUGUUUAUUAUCAUGUAAAAUUGAAUGAAUAUUUGAAAAAUUAUUAUAAAUGACAAAAUUGAUAAAAAUAUUCAAAUAGCAAAAAUUUCAAAAUUUAAUCAAUAUUUUGGUUCAUUUUUAUUUCAAAAAACAGCAUAUGAUAUUUUCUUUUCAUAAACAAAACGGUAUACCAAAAUAGUCAUUCAAAAAUUGCGAAAGAGGUUAACUUAUAUUUAAUACAAUACUCAAGAUAUCCUUAAGAAAUACUCAAAGGAUUCCUUGAACAUUUCAUUUCGCUUUUUAAAGUAGUAAUAAUAAUAUUAUUAAUAAAUCAUUUCUUACCUCUUAAACUUAAUUGAGCUAGCCAUCAAUUUCCUCUCACGUGGAACAAAAUAUUUAAUACAAUACUUGAGAUACACAAUAUUAUAACAAAACUAUUAAAUAAAUAUUCAACAAUUAUAACUAAAAGAAUUCUCAAUUUACCAAUAAAACAAAAUUCUCUAUGCAUGGAGGUAUACAUGACGAAACUGAAUGUUAAAAGUAUACCUGAAUGGCAAAGCUCCAAUAAAUACAAAAUAAUACAUAUGAAUUGUUUUAAUUAUUAUUAAAUAGAAAAAUAACUUGAAAGAAUGAAUGCUGAUGGACAAAUUAAUGCUUGCUAACUAUGCUUCCAAUAGACUAUACUUAUAAUUAUACAUUAUAAUAAUUAAAACAUUGAUAUUGGGGUUAAAACAUUUAAGUUCAAGAAAACCUUGAAUGAAUGUUAAAGCAGCCGUGUGCGUACCUGAAACUCCGAUCUCAUUUAGUCAUAGGGAUUUCUAAAGUUCUUCAAAAGGUCUGGGACAUCAUAUCCCAACAUGUCAUCCACCGACUGAAUCAUUUUUGGUUUCAACUUUUCAAAUUUGUCGAAGUUGUAACCGCUUAAUGUUUCUCGGAAUUGUUCGACGUUUGGGAAAUCUCCAGCGGGUAAGUGAUAUUCUCUUUGUACCUGUGAGUUACUAAGAGUUUUAAGUAUACCAUACCUUGGGAGUUGUUAUCUGUAGAUACGAAGUUUAGGCUGCUAACAAUAAUUUUAAUGAAAUACCUUUCCGAAUUCAUCAGCCAAAUUAUCGAUUAGUCGCUGUUGGGUCUUGGCUUUGCCGAUCAUGGUAGGCAUCUCUUUCCUAAGAUGGCUUAUAAUGUAGGCAUGAAUUUUAGCAGCUCUUGCUCGCUUAACGAAUUCAUUAAUCUGUCAAAACCAUUGUUAUCAGAAACUUUCUUCUUUCCGAGGAGAAAGGAGGGUGGGGCAUUUUUGAGGAGACCAUUUUCAAAUCCAUAAAAUAUUAUAUUACACAAAUAAAUACCAUUUCAAUCAGAAAAAUAAGGAUAGUUAGACUUGGGAAACUCACUCUUCUAUCACAUGCCUUCUUUGGGAUAUCCUUCAAAUCAGAAAGAAGAUCUUCCUGUUCUUUUUCAAAGAGGUCUUUUCCGAGCGGACCUGUAACGGCUUCAUUAACAGGUUUGUCAUUAAACGAGCUGUCACAAGGAAACACGUGAAUGUAUGAGCAAGACAUCCCCAUCAGCAUAAGAAUCCUAUCAAACUAAUGGUCUGGACAAUGAAAUGUCAACUAGAUGGUAAUAUAUGCAAAAUGAAGCACUAGAAUGUCCUAAAACAAUUUUCAACUACAUGUGAAUUGGCAAGAUGCAUCAUUGUCAACUAUUCCAUUAGAAACCACUCAUCAUAAAUUGCAUAAAUCGAUUUAGCUGAUAAAAAUUUAAAAAUGAAAACAAAAAGUUUACUAGUAUUAUAUCAAAGCAAGAGACCGCACCCAAUAUAAACACGUACAACCUCAGGAGUAUUCAGAACCUUCCCAAGCGACCACAUUAAUGCUCCAUAAACCCUCAUCAACUGAAAUAUCCAAAAGAGAAUAUUAGAUUACCUGAGGCCAUAUAUUUCAUCUUGUAAAAAGUAAACCAGAGUAAAGAUAAAAAUAAUAAUAUGAAUAGUAAUAAGUUACUUGCUGCGUGUCAACUUGGUCUGCCUUGUUCAAGACUACUCGAAUUUUGUCAUCAUGCCCACGUAAUGAAGCUAUAACCCGUUUGAAUUCAUCACUAAUAUCAAGUUUAUGGGGAUCAAAUAAAAGUAAAAUAAGAUCGCACUUGGCAGCAAACCAUGAUGUAACAGAUGUAAACUCAUAUGCUCGCUGUGUUCGUUGUUUUUCUCCAGACAGAACUCCAGGAGUAUCCACAAACGUAAUGUGUUCUAGCAGCUUCACAAAAAAUAACAGAUUAAGGCCAUGAAUAGAGUAUUAAAAUCCAUAUUCAUGGCAACAACAAAUUAUAUUCUUACAGGAUGCGGCAUUUGUGAACACUCAAAUUUUGAUAGAAAAGAAGUUCCAAAUGUUGUCAGACCAUUAAAUGGCAUGUCUGCUUGGACAGCAAUCGUAUUUCCAGGAAUGCUUCUUUCAUCAGGUCCAGACUAAAAGGGAGCAAACAACAAUGAAUUAGGUUUGAAGACCCAAUGGUGAUCUGUUCUUUUGUAAUUUUCGAAUUUAAAAUGAAAAAAAAAAAAAAAACUACAAAAUUGACAUCCAUCUUUGAUACCCAUAAAAUUUUCAAAGAAAUUUAAGACGAAACUUUCACACCACCACCAGAAAGCAUGAACAAAAUACUUCAUGGAGUUUAGUUUUGUUCUCCUUCUCAGAAACAAAGGCUAAAAAAGAUGCAGCAGAAACUAUUAUAAUGUGUAGUAAAUGAUCAAUUUUCACAGAAUAAAAAGCAUGUGGCAAGAAGACAAAACCAGAUAAGAGUGUCUACGAAUUAAAUAGAAAUGAUCAACCAUGCAUAAAAAGUGAGAGAUACAAUUGAAGUAACAAGUAAUACAAUUUGUUCAGAAUCUGCAAAACAAAAAUUGUCAAACGGUUUUAUUUCAUCCACAUGCUGCUUCCACAGGGGGAGAACAUAUUUGAAAAAAGCACUUACCAUAACAACAACAAAUCUGUCAGUUGUAGGUUCUGGUCCAAUGUGGGCUCCUACCAAAAGUGAAUAAAAUGGGAAAGAAAAUUGAAUCAAUAUCAGAUGUUCAUGUUCAAGACACAAAAAUGGUCCCCUGUUGAGAGUAGGGGUGAAUGAUUGGUAUGUGAGCGGGGCGUGGGGGGAAGGAGGGGACCUCAUCCCUCACUCUCUGACUCAUGGAAACCUCCUACUGCUUUGGGAAAGUACUUUGUACUCUCAACAUAACAAGUACAAGAUCUCAUGUCUCACCUGGAUAACUGCUUUUCAGCAGAUGUUUGAUAAAUGUCGUUUUGCCGGUAGAGUAUUGACCCAAAAGCAUAACCAUUGGUUUAGCAUCGAAGUCACUAUUUGCCUGAAUCAUAGGACAACCCAACAUAAAUAUAUACUCACAUUGUAAAAACAAUGGUCCAACAUACCAUCAAAGCUAAAUAAAAAGAAUAUAUUUAAGAGAGAAAUAAUCUCACAUGAUAUAUGUAAUGAAAUAUACAAUUAAAAUGCAAAAACAAUGCCACUCACCAGUAAUGGAGAAACAAAAUCAUUAAAUCGAUAACUAACUUCUAAGGGCUUCAACUUCUGAAUAUAAAGUCUUUUCAAACCAUCAACGAUCGAUGUAACGGAAGAAAGAGGUAUCUGAAACAGAAUUUUGGUUUCAAAGUCAUAAGCCCAGACACCAAGUUGACACUGCUAAAUGUUCAUGAUCACAAACCUUUUUAGAUGACUUCGAUGAAAACCAACUUGCUGAAACAGGUGACUGCCCCUUAGAGCUACCUGCAAAGUCAUCAAUUACCAAGUUAAAAGAGGAAAGCAAAAGCAUGAAUGAGCCUCCGUUCAUAAAUUGCAAAGAUAAAGUUGCUACCAUUUGUCUCAUGGUCAUUUGACUUCUGUUUACGGGCUUUCUUCUGUGUGAUAGACAAAUAAAAAAGUUAGAAAUUCAAACCUAAUUACAAAAGGUGUGCCUUCCUAGUCCCAUGCCCUAUAGUAUUCAAUAUUUAAAUUAGCAAAACAAAUACUUUAACUUCUUGCUUUAGCCUCAUGAGAAGCCCCAUGGCUAGUCCAAAUCCCAACCAGCUCAAAGUUAAAAUUUGAUCGACCCAACUCAUUCCUUCAAUGAACAGGAUUGGAUAUGGAUAAUUCUAAGAGAGUUCAAUUUUUUUGGUUUUAAACAAGCUAGGAAGAGACCUGAACCACACUUUUGAUGGACUCAAUUUUCAGUACAAAAAUCUUUAUUGGCUGCAUAACAGAAAAGCUAUGAAACUGAGCACUGCAAACCAUCAAAGAGUGACAAUUGGAAGAGAAGCCAGAGCCACCAACAAGGUACACCCCUUUUGGAGGAUAUAUUAUAAACAGAAACUAGUCCUACCUACAGGACAAAGACUCCCAAACUAAACUGUUAUUGCCACUCAAAUUUCAUUCCUCAUUAGUGGUGUCAGUGGGACAUAGUGAUUAAGAUUUACCAGAGUAGGCAAAAGAUAUAGGGAAUGAAUAAAAUCACAGGGGACACUUAUUUGUGAGCUUGCAUGUUCUUCACCAACAAACUUGGGUCUGUUUGGAAUGGCCUUUUAAGUGUUUAAAAACAAUUUUUUGCACUUCAAAAUUCUUUUUCAAACAUGUCAUUUCAUACAAGCCCUACGUUUUUAGCUUUCGUUCUACCUAGUUUGUUUCAACCUUCACCCAAUCCAAAUCACACUUGCGAGGGCAUUUCAAUCAACUUUACUUUGUGGGUCAAGGUCGACCUGUGUCAGAAAAGUAUGAUUCAAUUUUGCUUGUGGUUGAUCAUUGGUCAAAGUAUGUCCACUCCAUCUUAAUGCACCAUCCUUCUACAAUCAGUGUAUUGAAAACCAUGCAUUACAUGUGUCUCACUUCAAAGAAGAGGCUCUUGGUGCAAGAAUGUCCUGCACCUCAUUGUCUCAUACCCUUUUUCUUUACAUAAUAACAAAAAAAAAAAAGAGAGAGAAGUAUCCUCCAGAAAUCCCUAAUUUGCCUUUUUUCCCCUUUGGACUUGAUACGGAGAAAGUCCUACAUAUUUUUCCCCUAUAUUCUAAUUUCUUCCAAAAGUGACACUUAAAAUCCCAAUCAACACCCAUGCGACUUGGUAUAUGACUUGGAAGUAACCAUACUUGAGAAAUAUAUUUCUUUUGUGGCUAAGGACCUUGGAACUUACUGUCACUUGUGCUUGCUGCAUAUUUGGUUUGUUUUAGGUAUAAAAGAUGUAUAAAUACAUGCCAUUUAUUCUUGUGAUUAAUCCAUCUUAUUCCUCAACCUAAUCAUUUGGCAGAAGCUUAAGUGUUUUUUUGGUUCCCCUUCUGUCACCCCAGGCUCCCUAGGCAAUCUCCAAAUUCCUUUAAUGAAUUCUGAAUUUUAGUUUUAGAAAUUAAGCACAAGUGUUGUAGUCUACGCUUUAAGUGGACUUUUGGGGCACAUGGCUAGUAAAAAAUGUAAAACCUUUCAACGAAGAUCUCUAGACAAUUCACCAGACAUGGAGUGCCCCACUGCAUCGCUCCUUUCAUAAAGGAAAUGAUGGAGAAUUUUGGAUGCAAAUCUAUACUCUAAUAUAUUGCUAAUUAACUACAACAACAAAAGUUUUCUCUGAAAUCAACUGUAGUUGAGUCAAGUGGUUCUCUUGUAAGAAUAGUAAAGUCACGCUAAGUUGACCUAGACAAUCAAGAUUAUUAACAAAUAAAACUACUAAUUAGAAAAAUUAGUUCUUUUAGCAGUUCAAUUAGACUACAAAAGAAGCAUACUCACAGCUAAUAUGACAUCCAGUCCCUCCAUUCUAGGAGGAUUCAAACUCUUCAAAUCAACUGCAAAAAAUAAGAGCAAUUACAACAAAUCAAAAGUUUACGAUUUAAGGACAAAAACAUAGUAAGUUGAACAGUAUAGUAAAGUUCCCAACAAUUUGAAAUUGGGUUUUGCAAGGUUGGCUUAAUAAUAGGGGGUUGGGUUAUAACGGCCACAAGAUAGUAAUGAUUGAAAAAUAUGCACUCAAACAAGGAAACGGACCUUCGCUAUUUGAAGUCAAUACAUCAUGAGUUACUUCCCCACCCGAUUGCGCCAGAGAGACAAGCUAAGCAUAAUAGAAGAAAAACAUUACUUUAGAAAAGAAGUCGACAUUUUCAAUCGACAUACUCAAGAUUCUUAAACCACAACCUGCAUUGCAGUAACAAACUCCUUGAACCCAAGAUAUCCUUGCCGCUUGGAAUCUGCAAUUGCCCACACCUUUGAACAAAAUGGUAUACAAGAAAUCAUCGUCAUAAUAAAAGAAAAGCGAAGACACAAUCACAACUAUACAUUUUUACCUGCCAAGUUCACGCGAUCAUCAACAUUAAACCAAAAUUUUCAGGUAAUGUUGCCCGAACAAAAGGGUACGUAAGUUGCAUAACACAAGGAAAAAAACUAACCAGAAUUUUCAAAAUACAGUUCAACAUGAAAGCCGAAGAACAAAAAUGCCAAAACCCAAUAAAACGGAGAAAAACACGAAAAGAACCCGAACCUGCUUGAGAUCUUGGCGAGGCAAAGUCGACAUGGAAAAGAACUUAAUAGCAUCAUUCCCCGUAAUACGCCCAUCACCAUCUGAAGUAAAUGAAUUGGGCAUACCAGAAUCAGCGUAAUCAAACGUAAUCGACAUUGACUCGCAAGAAAAACAUACAAUCAUAAAAAUAAAUAAAAAAACAAAUACCAGAAUCAGCGUAAUCAAACCAUUCUUGAUAGAUCUUCUGAUGAUCUCGGGAGCAGGAACCGAUAGGAUAGGAACCGAUUUCCAUAAAAGGUGAUCAGAAAAGAGCGGAUAUAGUGGUUAUAAAGCUCCGGUGAAAUGCUUCUUCCACCGCUUGAUUCCGUAUGUUCCAGUUCCAGGCGAAUUCCGAGAUCAGGAAAAAGAAGAAACAAUCAAUGGAAUGAAAAACACAGAAGAACUGAUUCCGGAGUUCUCUCCCUUUCAGUUCGUCCCUCUUUUGAGGAGAGAGAAGGGAGAAGGAACUGGAAACGGAAGCGAAGAGAGCGAGAGAGAGAGAGCAAGGGGGGGAAAUGGGAAUUGGAGGUUUUUAUUUUCUCUUUUGGUUUCUUCUAUUCCCCUUUGUUCGUUAACGUUUCAUGCCGACGAUGCUGUAAUGAAAGUUAAAAAAACGCCGUCGUAUUAAAUAAAUUCCGGUGGGAACCACGUGGCAGCCAUUUGGUAAAUCCUCCAAUUUGUCCAUCAACCCUUUUUUUUUUAUUAUUAUUAAUUUCAGAACUUCUUGCAUUUUAUCACACCUCUAACGUACUUAUAGUUAAACCUAAUUCUAAAAAUCGAGAAUCUUAUCCAGGCAGAAAUAAUGCACUAACAAUAGAAUUCGAAUAAAGAUUAUCUAUAACUAUAAUAUCGGCAUGAGUCAGAAUGUCCAUGAUAGUUUACUCAACAAGUCUAUUAUUUUGAGGAUUUGUCUAAUUCCGGAGUUGGAAACACAAUUAUACAAAGAUGAAAUUCACUUAUUCUUUGUUUUUUGAGAAAAGUGUAUAAAUUACUCUCUUAAUAGUUGAUCCUAGAUCUUGAACAAUGAAACAUGUCAACCUUUCACUAGCUCAAGAUGUUGGUUCAUAGUUGAACUAUCUAUAAACUCUUUGAUCAGUAGAUAAAUUUAUGAUGCUUAAUGAGUUGAAUAUAGCUACAAUGUUAGUUUCACCCAGAACUUUCCUGUUGUAUCAAUUUACAUUUUUCACACAUUUAAUUGUAAAAAAGAAUAUACAAAUUAAACAUUUAAUUUUUUAAAAUUAAGCUUACAAAGUGUUAUAAGUAAAUUGAUUUAGUUUUUUUUUAAGAUUGUUUUUAGAAUAGUUAAUACAUAAAUUCUUAUAAGGGUAGAAGUCAACAAAUUUUGAUUUGAUAAGACGAUUAUAUUUUGAAUGGAUAAUUUUUCAAAUAAAUCUCUAAAUUGGUUUCCUUGUGUAGUUUAGAAAUUUAAUUGAUAAAAUUAUAAAUCUAACAUGAUGUUUAUUUAAAUGAAACAUAAUGGAGCAUUUACAUUGAUACACUUAUGAAAGUCCAAGUUUUUAAUUGAUACAAUUAUUUGUUUAAAGUUUAAAUUGGUACAAUCUUCAAAGUCAAAUGUUAUGCUAGUUCAUCAUGUUGGCAACGAUUUUAGUUUACGUAUAUUAAACUUUUAAAAUAAACUUCCGUUACCACUGUUCAAUGAGAGACUAGGAAGCACGAACACGUUAAAACGACAAAGUAUUAGUGUCAGACACGUGUUAGACAUCAAUACGUCUCGACGUGUCCCUGACAUGUGUUAGACGAGCAAAAGUAUAUAUCGUCCUUUAUUUAUUAUCUUUUUAAUUUUGGACACAUGAAAACGCACAAUGACACGACACCAAACACACAUUGGUGGCACAUAAGAAACCCAAAACCUUUCAAACCAAAAUGCUACAGAAAGAGGGUGAUCUCGCAUGUUUGAGAUUGGCGCACAAAGGGAGACCAUCGGUUAGUGCAUGACUAUAUCUGACUGUUCGUAGAAGUUCAUCAGUGACUUAGUCUAUAACUAAUAGAUUUUGGAAAUUUAUCAUAAAUAACAUUUUUAAGUUUUUGUAUUACUAAAAUUACAUCCUUCAUUUCAUGUGAAAUCAACCAUUAAAAUUUAGUUUUAAAUUUUAGUUUGUCUAAUUUAUUGAUAGUUUUUAGAGUUUUUUUUUUUUAAUAUUUCCAAAUCUCAUACCAAAUCUUAUAUAUAUUUUUUUAAUUUUCUUCAAAUUUGGUUAUUGUUAUUAAAUACUAUAACAAAUUAUUACUUUUAAAAAUACAUAUAUUUAUGCCCUAAAUUUCAUCCAGAAAAGUCGUAUAGAAUGUCAAUGUUAUUUUUUAUGUGAUUAACACCGACAUCCACAUCAACUAUACAUUUUUCAAACCCUAAACCCUAAAUCCAAACUAUAAAAUCUCUUACCUUGAAGCUUUGGCUAAAUAUUUUGUUGAUUCCAAUUACUUACCCACUUCAAAGCUUGAAAAUUAAACCAAGAAAAACCAAAUAUUUUUUUCAAAACUCACCACUGAAAAGCGGCAGUGGAUAGAAUCGGCGACCACCGACGGAGCUGGAGCAGCGCGGUCGUCCUGGGUGGAGGUUGGUCGAGGUUGGGUUGCUACUCCUUGGCCGCUCCUGGGUCGAACGGAAGGCAGUGGACGUGAAAGAAUUUUAGUUAUUGGAUCUUGAGUCUUACUAACACUGAGAUGGUCCAAGAUGAAAGAAUUUUACCUUUAUUUUAUUCGACAUCGGGCAUACAUUGUCUCAAUAUGUCCUGGGAUGAAAGAUUUUUGUCUUUAUUUAUUUGAUCCCGAGCCUUAAUUUCACCGAGAUGCCCCCAAGAUUAAUAAAUUGCAAAGAAGAUAUAAAUCACAAGGGCAUAUAUGAAAUUUGUGAAAAAAAUGACCGCACGUCAAGAACUUUUUUUAAUUGAAUUAAUCCACCAAAUCAAUUUGAACUUACAAUUCAAUUAAAAUUACCAUCCAAAAUAAUUCAAUCUCAAACAAAGGAAGAUACUUCAAUUAGAAAUUAUCUUAAAUUUUGAGUAUUACAAAUUAUUCUAAAUUUAGCUAAUAGUCCAAUUAAUAAAUUGAACAUGGCCAAGUAAUUUAAGUUCCUUGACCAAAAAUCCAACCCAAAGUCUUUGAGAUCAAGUCUAAUUUGUGUUUCAUAGUAAGUAAUCGAGUCCGAGAUCAUCUAAAGUUCUCGAGAAACUUUAUCAAUAGAGAAUUUAUUGGGAGGAGAAGAAUAAAGAACAAGAGCUCUUAAAACUCUUACGACUUGAAGAUUGAAACUAUGAGUAUCUAGAAAACAUAACUCUUUCGAAGCUAAAGCUUCAAGGAGACAACAGAAGGAAAACUUCUUUUAAUGAUCGAUAGAAAACAGAAAAUGACCAUAUAAUAGAGAUUGCACUCGUUAUACUAUAUUGAAAUCUAUACGAAUCCAAAAUUUAUUUUAUGAAUCAUCAAAAAUCACAUUCAACAACUACAUCCAAAAGAAAAAAAAAAAAAAAGCUUGUGCGUAAGUAGAGAAAGAGAGUUGUUGAUACUAAAAACUUUCUGUUGGAAUCCAAUGUCCAAAGCCUAGAAAUGUAAAAGAGGCAAAAAUGAUGAAGUUAAGUACACCAUUGUGUUUUGAGCUUUUGGAACUUCUAAUGACCAAUUUUCAAGUCGUGUAGAGUAUAAGAAAGCUUGGAUUCAAAGAGAAGUGAGUGAUGAUCAAGAUUAAAGCAGUGCUAAUUGUUAUUUGUUAAGCUACAAGUUCCAACUAUUAGGUUAGUUGUAAAAUUAAUGCAAAUUUCAAUGGACACCAAAUAAUAAAAUUGUAACAUCCCAAAUUGGACAAAGUUAAACUAGUGAUUUAUUGAAAAUAUGUGGAUUGAAAUGGGAUGUUUAAGAGUAAUAAUAUAAAAAUUGGACAAAAUUAAAAUAUUUAGACCAAAAUGAUAUCUUAAUCUAAAAAUAAAAAUAUCAAAGAAAAGAUUUUGUUUUCCUAAGUUUGAUGCAGUUUUUACAGCUUUAAGUUUCAAAAUAUGGUUGUUUUAGUUCUUAACUUUCGAGUUUUGAUUUUAUUUUAAUAUUUAAGGGAUGAUUUAGUACUCUUAAACGGUUUAGGUUGGGUUGGGUUGUCGGAUUGUCAUCCCUAAGUAUCAACCAACCUUUUCUUGUACUCCAUUUUAUUCAAUUAUAUAUAUAUAUAUAUAUAUAUAUAUAUAUAUAUAUAUAUAUAUAUCAUUAAUUGAUUAGGUUGGGUUGAGUUGAAUUAGAUUUUUCAACCCCAACUAGAGACCCAACCCAACUGUUGGGUAGUUCGGGUUCUUCGGUUAUUCUCACACAUUAUAUAUAUAUUCAUUUGGAAAAUAGUUUUUUAAUUGGGGUCUGUUAAAAAAUAUAACAAAGCGGCAAAAUAUUUACCAAUUUCGAAAACGAAAAAAAUGGCCACAGACCCACAAUGAGAAAUUUCAAAAAUGCAAUUCAAUCAAACCCAACCUGAAUUAAUAUAUAAAUUGAACAUGAUCUUUUAGAUUUGGCUGAUUUGGAACACAAUUGUUUAUAGUUGGAACACACUCUUUUAGAUUUGAUUAUCUAGAUUUGAUCAUUUUGGUACAAUCGAUUAGAUUUGGUUAUCCUAUAUCCAACUAUUUUUUUCACUAUAUUUUAUAUUUGGACCAACUAAAUAACUAUGUAAAAAAAAUUAAAAAAAUACAUCUUUUAUAUUUACCCCACGAUCUUGAACCAAAUAAGAAUUUAGAAAAAUAAAAGAAAAACUGCAGAAGAAAAGAAAAAGGCGAUUGGAAAGAAAAAAAGAGAAAAAGCGAUGAAAAGAAAAAUAUCGAACAAAAGAAAGAAAAAAAAGACAAUCGAAAGAAAGAACAAAUCUAAAAUAUUUAAAAAUGGUCAGUUUUAUAGAAAUUUUUAUCUUAUUACAUAGACCAAAAUUUUACCCAUUUAUAUUUAUGAAAAUUAACCUUUUUAAUUAGUAAUGAUUUAAUAAGAUUAAUAUCAAUAUUUAUUUUAGUAAAUAAAUAACUAUCAGUAAAACAUUUCUCCAAUAUAUUUUUACAAUAAAAAUUAUUUAAAAUGUAAAUACUGUUUUACAUAAAUUAUUAAUUAGUUACUAAUAAUAUAAGAUAAAAUAGAAAAGAAAAAUCGGAAAAAAUCAUUAAAAAUUUCAUUACACCUAUAAAUAUUUUAUCAAUUUUAUUUUUUACUUUUAUUUUUAUAGUUUUCCAAUCUUUUAAAAUAAAGAGAAAGUUAGGUAAAUACAAGAAAUUUUAAUUAUCUAUUUUGGAUUUGGAUUAAAAUUUUACUAACAAGUUUAUCGCUCCCUCCCAUUUUUAAAAAUUUUCUUAAAAUAUAUAUAACGAGUAAACUAAGAUCCACUCCAGAGAAAGAAAAUCAAUUUUCAAUAAUAAUAAUGGUUUACCUUAUUUUUUUCUAAUAAUAAUGAAUCUUUGAAAUUAAUUUUAAUUAUAUUUUCAUUAGGAACAUAAACAUUAUUGAUUACUUAUAAUUGUUUGUUUGUUUAUAUUAUUUCAUUCAUUAUUACUUAACCUAUUAUAUUUAUAAAAAUUUUGUUAGUAAAUCUCAAACCAAAUUACGGUUAAGUUUCAAAAUAUUAUAAUUUUUUACUCGAACUAAAUUUACUGUUUAAGUUUCAAAAUAUUAUCAUUUUUCAUUCUUGAAUUCUAGUUUUGUUUUAAUUUAGUUUUUAUAUUUCAAAAUUUAUUAAUUUAACUUAAAUUUUGUACCACAUAUUUGCUUGUAGUGUUUAAUGUUUAUUAAAUAAUUUAAUGUUCAUGCUAUAUGGUGAAUUUGUAAUUUUAGAAUAGAAGACGUAGGAAAUAAAGAAAAAUGAGUCUGUUGUCUAACUGAAAUUUGGAUAAUAAAUUAAGAUUAUAAUUAGAUAAAUCUAUUUAUGUUCCGUGGUACCUUUUUGUUUAAAAAAUUUGGCAUUAAAAUUCACAGGCAACAAGUAUUUGGUAUAAUUUUUAAAUUGAACUUUAUGCUGAAUGAAUAGAGAAGAACGUUAAAGAAAUUAUAAAUAUUUGAUACAAAACUCAAAUGGUGACAUUUUAGAAAUGAAAUUAGUCGAACAUCUUGGAAUAUUUGUUUAGCAUUAAAACAUGGAGAGGAUUUUUGAAUGAUAAAAUGAAGAAAAGAAAAUAGAAAGAAAAAAAGGGUGAGUGGAUGGUAAUAUAGUGAGAGUGGGGGAAUGGAAGAGCCGCACCAACACCACACGGUUCCCAAACGCAAAUUUCCAAGUGGCCCCCCUUUUCAAAUUGGGCCGUUCCUAAUUCUUAUUCCCAAUUACCAACAACCUACCCCCAUUUCCAAACACUCACCUCCUUAAUUCGGUUGCCUAACACUAAAUUAAAUUACCUAUCUCUUUGGUUUUGGUGCCAUUAAUUUAUUUUUCCAUGUGAAAUACAUAACAAAUAAUAAAUAAAUAAAAAUUUGUUUUGAAUCAGAUUCCAUCCAACACCCCCACCAAAUAUGAACACCCCAUAACACAUGAUUUUUUAUUUUUUAUUUUUAAUCAAAAUAUUUUGUAAUAUCUAAAUAGUAUGAAAUGAUAUUACUAAUUGAUUACAAAUUUAAACAUAGAAGUAAGAAAAAAAGAAAAGAAAAGGAAGAAUAAUAUAUAGUUGUGAGGAUAAAUGAUUGCUUUUGAUUUUUGAUAAUCUUGUCGGGUAAUUUCUCUUUUCUCUAUGCCUGCCGUGCCAGCACAUAAAAAAAUAUAAUAACAAAAUUAAAAUUAAAAAAGAAGGUGGAGAUUAAUAUUAAUAAUAACAACAACAACAAUAAAAUAUUGAAUUAUUGCAUCAUCAUCAUCAUCAGCAUCAUCGCCGCCGGUGGUCAAAGGCACAACGCGGUACAUCGAAGAUCAUCGCUGCUAAAAUCAAAAAGAUCGGAAGGUGGAAUGUUGAGAUCGAAAGGCAGAGGGGUUUUUUUCCGAGGAACGACAGGGGAGGAAGCGAUGUCGUCGCCGUCGUCGAUAACGGAGGAAGAAGAAUCGCAAUCGCUAUGGCAAUCCUCGGGGAGAAGUGGGGGAGUACGAGGGUAACGACGAGAGGGAGAAGUGCUAGUAAGGGCAGGAAGG